UGACGACCGGCGCACGGGUGCGUAACGCGUAUACAAUCUACCUUAUACUGGGGUAUAGCCUUUAGAAAUGAAGAUUAAUCCCCCAUAGUCUCUUAUAGUGGCAUCACUUAAAGAGUAAAGGUUACGGUAUAAGAUGAGUAUGCGUUCUAUUAGUUUGUUGGUAAGGUAACGGCUUACCAAGACUGCGAUAGAUAGGGGCCCUGAGAGGGGGAUCCCCCACACUGGUACUGAGACACGGACCAGACUCCUACGGGAGGCAGCAGUGAGGAAUAUUGGACAAUGGAGGCAACUCUGAUCCAGCCAUGCCGCGUGUAGGAUGACUGCCCUAUGGGUUGUAAACUACUUUUAUACAGGAAGAAACACCUCUACGUGUAGAGGCUUGACGGUACUGUAAGAAUAAGGAUCGGCUAACUCCGUGCCAGCAGCCGCGGUAAUACGGAGGAUCCAAGCGUUAUCCGGAAUCAUUGGGUUUAAAGGGUCCGUAGGUGGAUAAUUAAGUCAGAGGUGAAAUCUUGCAGCUCAACUGUAAAAUUGCCUUUGAUACUGGUUAUCUUGAGUUAUUAUGAAGUAGUUAGAGUAUGUAGUGUAGCGGUGAAAUGCAUAGAUAUUACAUAGAAUACCAAUUGCGAAGGCAGAUUACUAAUAAUCAACUGACACUGAUGGACGAAAGCGUGGGUAGCGAACAGGAUUAGAUACCCUGGUAGUCCACGCCGUAAACGAUGGUUACUAGCUGUUUGGACCUUGUGUCUGAGUGGCUAAGCGAAAGUGAUAAGUAACCCACCUGGGGAGUACGUUCGCAAGAAUGAAACUCAAAGGAAUUGACGGGGGCCCGCACAAGCGGUGGAGCAUGUGGUUUAAUUCGAUGAUACGCGAGGAACCUUACCAGGGCUUAAAUGUAAGUUGCAUUAGUUAGAGAUAGCUAUUUCUUCGGACCACUUACA
rnacentral:rRNA from 1 species